rnacentral:rRNA from 1 species
AAACCGUUCAGGGGUAAACCUGAGAAACCCAAAAGAUCGAAUGGGGAGAUUCAUCGUCAGCGGCGAAGGCUUCCAUGUGGUUCGCGAUGCUCGGGGCUCCGGCUCCGCGGCACGUGUCUGCUGUGGUAUGUCCGGCGCCGCCGGCGUGCACUUCUCCCCUAGUAGGACGUCGCGACCCGUUGGGUGUCGGUCUACGGCCUGGGUGGUCGCCUGCCGCGUCGCUUCGGCGCACGCGGCAGACCCCCGGAUUGCCCGACCGGCUGCCCGGCGGUACUCGCACGGUAUCGAGCCGCAAUCUCGACUGCGUUCAGGCCCGCCGCAAGCGAGGCCAGUGUUACCCGGAGGUGCGGACCUGGUGCCGUCCCCGGGCCUGGCCAGCUGUUGGUAGGCGGUGUCCUCGGACUGGCUCUGUUGAUAUGUGAUACCGGUCGGCGACGCUACUGCUUUGGGUACUUUCAGGA